AGUAACGCGUGGAUAACCUGCCUUACACUGGGGAGUAACACUUAGAAAUAGGUGCUAAUACCGCAUAAGCGCACAGAGCCGCAUGGCUCAGUGUGAAAAACUCCGGUGGUGUAAGAUGGAUCCGCGUCUGAUUAGCUGGUUGGCGGGGUAGAAGCCCACCAAGGCGACGAUCAGUAGCCGGCCUGAGAGGGUGAACGGCCACAUUGGGACUGAGACACGGCCCAAACUCCUACGGAAGGCAGCAG
rnacentral:rRNA from 1 species